CACUAUCAUCUUUUUUAAAACACUCUCAAGUUUUCUCUCAAUCUUCAACCUCAAGAACACUAAGGAGACUUGGAAGCUAAGGCUUGGUCUAGGAAGAGUUUUCUCUAAGGGUUUUUUAAAGGUAUUGAAGGAUCCAAAGCUAAUAGGAAGAUUCACACCUUAAGCAAGAACACCAAAGAGGUAAGGGCAAGGGCAAGGCAGAGCAGUGAAUGCUGGAGUCUACCUAGAAAAUUUACAAGUGGACCAACCUUUUGGGAAGCCGUUUUAUUUUUGAAAUGUUGUGUAAUUUUCCUAAACUAGGCUCACUGUACUCCUUAUAAAAGAUGUUGUAAAUAAAUGUUAAGUAUGGCCAUAUGACUUUUUAAAAAGUUUUUUUAUACAA